UUACACAAAUACGUGUUAAAUAUAAAGACAGUUUUUAAAAUAUAUCUUUGCCGCCCCAGCAAAACAUCUUAACAUUUAUAGAAUUUAUUUAACUAAUUUUCUUCUAGCAAGGUAAUAAUGUAAAGCUUUAUAGGGUCUUAUCGUCUUCUUGAUACAUUUAAGCCUUUUAACUUAAAAGUUAAUUUCAAUCUACAAAACAAAGACAGUUAAAUUCUUGUACAACCAUUCAUACCAGUCCCCUAUUAAAAGACUAAUGAUUACGCUACCUUCGCACGGUCAAUUUACCGCGGCCCUUUAAACAAUCAGUGGGCAGGCCAGACCUUGUAUUUCUCUCACACGGACAUGUUUUUGAUAAACAGGC
rnacentral:rRNA from 1 species